GUGGUCUACGCCUUUAUAAACCAGCUGUUGAAACCGUAGCGCACAUUUCUCUGCAACAUUAGAAGCAGGAUAAAUGUGUUGAUUUGAAGGACAGAUUCUGCCUGGAUUCUAACCAGGUCCUGCAGUGACGCAGGGGGUGGGACUCUGCACCACUCGGGAGGCGGCUGAGCUGAAACAGAAAGUCAAGUUGUUAUUUUGUACAGGAUCCAUGGUGAGACAACAGAGCAGAAAAUACUAUAUGGAGAUUAUUGACAAAUAGGUAAGUAUUUCUGAACAAUAAUCUAUUCUAAAGAACAGAGUAUGUGAAUGAAUAUCUGGAAUGAGAUAUUACUAGUUAGUAGAACUGCAAAUUGAGCUGAGUUGCUGACAGACAGCAGUUUUCAAAGUGUAAACUAAUCAGUAGACCUACAUGUUAUGAGUAAAACGUCUGGUAAAGAUGGUGGAGGAGCUUUUCAAUUAUAUGAAACUGACUGUUAGCAACACCCUCUGGUUACUGUUGUUAUGUGAAGGGGUGACGCCUUGACUGCAGUUUAAACUGACAUUAAUAAGAAAGUAUCUGGACACGGCCAUGUUGAGAUGACAGAGCAGCUUAGUUUAAUCUCUAUACUGCAACACAGCUUCCAAGUAAAGUGAGUAUUUCAGGUUAAUACUCUAGAAUAAAGUAGAGGGGACAUGUGGAAUACAGUAAACUAGUGUCUGAGUGCUGCUGAGUCAUUCCAUCCAUACGGUCCCUCUUCUAUCUUUCAGGUUAAUACUCUAGAAUAAAGUAGAGGGGACAUGUGGAAUACAGUAAACUAGUGUCUGAGUGCUGCUGAGUCAUUCCAUCCAUACGGUCCCUCUUCUAUCUUUCAGGUUAAUACUCUAGAAUAAAGUAGAGGGGACAUGUGGAAUACAGUAAACUAGUGUCUGAGUGCUGCUGAGUCAUUCCAUCCAUACGGUCCCUCUUCUAUCUUUCAGGUUAAUAAUCUAGAAUAAUGUAGAGGGGACAUGUGGAAUACAGUAAACUAGUGUCUGAGUGCUGCUGAGUCAUUCCAUCCAUACGGUCCCUCUUCUAUCUUUCAGGUUAAUACUCUAGAAUAAAGUAGAGGGGACAUGUGGAAUACAGUAAACUAGUGUCUGAGUGCUGCUGAGUCAUUCCAUCCAUACGGUCCCUCUUCUAUCUUUCAGGUUAAUACUCUAGAAUAAUGUAGAGGGGACAUGUGGAAUACAGUAAACUAGUGUCUGAGUGCUGCUGAGUCAUUCCAUCCAUACGGUCCCUCUUCUAUCUUUCAGGUUAAUAAUCUAGAAUAAUGUAGAGGGGACAUGUGGAAUACAGUAAACUAGUGUCUGAGUGCUGCUGAGUCAUUCCAUCCAUACGGUCCCUCUUCUAUCUUUCAGGUUAAUACUCUAGAAUAAAGUAGAGGGGACAUGUGGAAUACAGUAAACUAGUGUCUGAGUGCUGCUGAGUCAUUCCAUCCAUACGGUCCCUCUUCUAUCUUUCAGGUUAAUAAUCUAGAAUAAAGUAGAGGGGACAUGUGGAAUACAGUAAACUAGUGUCUGAGUGCUGCUGAGUCAUUCCAUCCAUCUUCUGUCCCCAGGAAAUAUCAGUUCUUAUUUAGUGAAAGCUGAAAUAAAUCAUUCUCUCUACUAUUAUUCUGACAUUUCACAUUCUUUAAAAUAAAGUGGUGAUCUUAACUGACCUAAAACAAGGACUUUUUUUACAAGGAUUAAAUGUCAGGAAUUGUGAAAAACUGAGUUUAAAUGUAUUUGGCUCAGGUGUAUGUAAACUUCCGACUUCAACUGCAUGUGUGUGUAUAUAUUAUUUUACUGCUCUAACGAUGUAAUUAUUGUUUACCUCAUUACUAUUAUGUUUUGAUUUUUCCCUUCAAUUUUUUUACUAUUUAUGUGAUGCGCAAUGCAGAGAACACUGAAGAGGAAUUAUCAUUUAAUUUCCACAGUGAAUUAUUGUAAUGUUUGUUUAUGUGUCAAUUAACCCCAUAAGGGAUGGGUUGCCAGGUGGCGAUUUGACACAAUAAUAAAAAGUUUUCAUUCA